UACGAGGGGGGCAAGUGUAGUUCGGAAUCACUGGGUUUAAAGGGUGCGUAGGCGGUUUGGUAAGUCAGUCGUGAAAUCGCUGGGCUCAACCCAUGCAAUUGCGAUUGAUACUGCCAAACUUGAAUGGGGUUAAGGCAGGCGGAAUGUGGCAUGUAGCGGUGAAAUGCAUAGAUAUGCCAUAGAACACCGAUUGCGAAGGCAGCCUGCUGGGCCUUUAUUGACGCUGAGGCACGAAAGCGUGGGGAGCAAACAGG
rnacentral:rRNA from 1 species